rnacentral:lncRNA from 1 species
AACAACUUGACUUUUUAGGUGGGAACUCGACCUCCAAAAGAAAAUCUCUUUUAAGUUCUGUAUUAUAAAAUACUGAUUCACUCCCCUAUUUUUUGUCAGCUGGACUUGUGGAAAGAGUUGUUCUACUUGGAGCACCCAUUGCAAUUAAAGAAAUGAACUGGGAAGCUACUCGGCAGGGAUUGUUGCUUUACCUUCUGCAUUCAUAUUCACAAAUAUUGAUAUUGUAUCAAUAAUAGGCACAUAUGCAUCAGUUACUGUUAUUGCAUAUGUUUAACAUUCUCUAUUAUGCAGGUGGUGGCUGGAAGGUUUGUGAAUGCAUAUUCUACCAACGAUUGGAUACUUGGAAUUGCGUUUCGUGCCAAGUAUGCAAGUCUUAAAUCUACUGUGAAAAUAUUAGGAUUGUGAAAUUGAUAGGUAGAUCACAUCUUGCUUUUGAAGUUGAGAUUUGUGCCUAACUGUGUCAAUAGAAGUAUCAAAACAAAAGAAGAAGUGAAUUUUUUUUGUCCAUUCUUUUGCUUAUUGAUUUUCGAUGUUGCCCUUUGCCUAUAACAGUCUUCUGACACUAGGAUUGGCAGGAAUUCAACCAGUGGAAGUGCCUGGAAUUGAAAAUGUAAAUAUUAUUCGUAAUGCUGGUCAACAUAGCGUAACAUAUGUUUGGGAUUUCAACCUUUAUCUCUCCAUUGUUUUUGACAGGUUAACGUAACUAGCAUAAUUGAUGGUCACUCUUUUAUCUUUGGAAUGCCCAGGAAAUCCUAGAACAGCUCGAACCGAUUUUCAGUCCUCCCCCUGUCAAAACAUAGUUUGUACUGAAAUUCUGGCAUAGAGUGCAAUUGCAUCAGAGGCUUUGUUCUUGUCGGAAAUGGAGGUUUGGAUCUAAUUUUAAGUGUUACCGUAGUCGGCUUGUGUAUUCUUGAACCGAGGAUAUUUCAUUAGUUACUGCUUGGUACUUCUAUAAAUUUCAUUUUAUCCUCAUUCUUUGCGCAAUAUGAAUCAUAAGAAUUGAACAAAUGAAACAGGUAAACAGGUGGUAAUAUUGAAGAUCUGUACUUGCUCGUGUUACUGAGGAGAUGAAGAGUGGCUAUAAAAGUGCAAAACAAAUGCUGGAGUUCCCAUACGAGAAAUUAAGUAGAUGCCAUAUUUUUGGAACUGAUACAAAUCAACAUUGCCAAGAAUGUAGAAUGUAAAAUGAAUAAUGUUAAUUUACAUAAACAUAAAAUGUCACAACAUGUAGAACUUUUAGCUUCAAUGAUACUAUAGUAUACUUUUCUACACUAACAUGAAAGUAUUUUGCAC